AUAACUGACUUGUGACAGAGAAGUGUUCAUAGCAAUUUCAGUUUUUGAUUAUCAGGUAUUGGCUCUGCCACUGUGAAGCAGAAAUAAGCAAGCCUUGGGUUGUUUACCCAUUAAUACACAUGAACACGAUUUAGAUCAUCAUUAGACAGGUA
rnacentral:ncRNA from 1 species